GCGGGUAUAGUACAUCGGCUAGUAUAACAGCCUUCCAAGCUGUGGAGGUCGGUUCGACUCCGAUUACCCGCUCCA
rnacentral:tRNA from 1 species